UACUUAGACAGACUAUGAAGAGAUACAUAGGGUGAGAAACGGAGGCCUUCAGCCAACAGCUGGGAGAAGCUGAGUCCCAUCAGCCAUUCAAAAGACUGCAGCCCCAGCCAAGAGUUUGAUGUAACCUCAGGAGAGACCCUGAGCCAGAACCACCUAGAAAUCUCCAAGUGAGAAGACCUUACUUGUCUUCUGAAAGUCUGGCCAACGAGCUAUACCUAGUGAUUCCAAAGUCCACAUAUAUUUACUCUGUUCUCACUGUACAAAGUAACCACUCUGAAGUCAAAAAAGCUGGGAUACAUGAAGACUGCCAUCCCUUGAGUCACUUGCCCUGUAGCUGCCACUGUUGGAAAAGGGCUUGCUUCUGUGUCCUUGUGCCCACUUUGAAAAUCCCUGGGAAGUCCUUGGAGUCAGAUGAGCAGGCCUCCGCCACUCUGCCAAAAAGUCUGUUCACAAUGGUGCUUCUACAAUUUCCUUAUAGGAGGAGUGAAGAGUAAGCAUUUGGAUUGGACCAGGAUUUGGAGAACUUGUCAUGUUGCUCUACGUGCAUAUGAAAUACAUCAUUGUAACUUAGAAUGUGAAUUACAGAACAAACAUGAAAGUUAGAAAAAUAUUCUAAACAUAUUUUUAUGAUCUCUACUUGCAAUAAGGAAACUGUUAGGCUUUUCCAUCAAAGAAUAAGUGCAACAAAAACAAAAAUUUCUGGAUGGAAAAAAGGAGAUUUGAGGGGCAAGGCUAAAGCCCCCCAAACCUUCCUCAGGAUGAACACAAACCCCAUCUUUAUUUUCCUGUUGCCACUGUUCCAUGUUGCUGGGCUCUAUUCCAGCAAAAUUUUGGAAAGCGUUGCUACAGUUCUGCUCAUUUCUUUCUCACUUCAGAACAAUGAUGCCCUUUCCAGAUAAAGCAUCUUAAUUAAACAGAUGACAUUUGAAC
ensembl:lncRNA novel transcript